rnacentral:rRNA from 1 species
ACACAUGCAGUCGAGGGGUAGAAUUAGCUUGCUAAUUUGAGACCGGCGCACGGGUGCGUAACGCGUAUGCAAUCUGCCUUGUACUGAGGGAUAGCCCAGAGAAAUUUGGAUUAAUACCUCAUAGCAUUAUGAAAUCGCAUGGUUUUAUAAUUAAAGUUCCAACGGUACAAGAUGAGCAUGCGUCCCAUUAGUUAGUUGGUAAGGUAACGGCUUACCAAGACGAUGAUGGGUAGGGGUCCUGAGAGGGAGAUCCCCCACACUGGUACUGAGACACGGACCAGACUCCUACGGGAGGCAGCAGUGAGGAAUAUUGGUCAAUGGGCGCAAGCCUGAACCAGCCAUGCCGCGUGCAGGAUGACGGUCCUAUGGAUUGUAAACUGCUUUUAUACGGGAAGAAACACUCCUACGUGUAGGAACUUGACGGUACCGUAAGAAUAAGGAUCGGCUAACUCCGUGCCAGCAGCCGCGGUAAUACGGAGGAUCCAAGCGUUAUCCGGAAUCAUUGGGUUUAAAGGGUCCGUAGGCGGCCUUAUAAGUCAGUGGUGAAAGCCCAUCGCUUAACGAUGGAACGGCCAUUGAUACUGUAGGGCUCGAAUUUUUGUGAAGUAACUAGAAUAUGUAGUGUAGCGGUGAAAUGCUUAGAUAUUACAUGGAAUACCAAUUGCGAAGGCAGGUUACUAACAAACAAUUGACGCUGAUGGACGAAAGCGUGGGGAGCGAACAGGAUUAGAUACCCUGGUAGUCCACGCCGUAACGAUGGAUACUAGCUGUUUGAGCAUCUGAGUGGCUAAACGAAGUGAUAGUAUCCCACCUGGGGAGUACGCACG